rnacentral:rRNA from 1 species
UACGUAGGGGCGAGCGUUGUCCGGAAUUACUUGGCGUAAAGGGUGCGUAGGCGGCACGAUAAGUUGGAUGUGAAAAGCCCGUGCUUAACGUGGGAGGUGCAUCCAAGACUGUCGCGCUAGAGUACAGGAGAGGGAAGCGGAAUUCCUAGUGUAGCGGUGAAAUGCGUAGAUAUUAGGAGGAACACCGGUGGCGAAGGCGGCUUUCUGGACUGACACUGACACUGAGGCACGAAAGCGUGGGGAGCAAACAGGAUUAGAUACCCUGGUAGU